rnacentral:tRNA from 1 species
AUCUAUAUAAUAUAACAAUUAUAUUUGAUUUCCAAUCAAAAAAUCUAAUUAAAUUUAGUAUAGAUA